rnacentral:tRNA from 1 species
AUUCAUCAAGGUUUUACUCCUUUUCUUUUUA